UACAGAGGUCUCGAGCGUUGUUCGGAUUCAUUGGGCGUAAAGGGUGUGUAGGUGGCGCCGUAAGUCGGGUGUGAAAUUUCGGAGCUUAACUCCGAAACUGCAUUCGAUACUGCGGUGCUUGAGGACUGGAGAGGAGACUGGAAUUCAUGGUGUAGCAGUGAAAUGCGUAGAGAUCAUGAGGAAGACCAGUGGCGAAGGCGGCUACCUGGCCUAAUACUGACACUGAGGCACGAAAGCGUGGGGAGCAAACAGG
rnacentral:rRNA from 1 species